UACGAAGGGGGCUAGCGUUGCUCGGAAUCACUGGGCGUAAAGGGUGCGUAGGCGGGUCUUAAGUCAGGGGUGAAAUCCUGGAGCUCAACUCCAGAACUGCCUUUGAUACUGAAGAUCUUGAGUUCGGGAGAGGUGAGUGGAACUGCGAGUGUAGAGGUGAAAUUCGUAGAUAUUCGCAAGAACACCAGUGGCGAAGGCGCUCACUGGCCCGGUACUGACGCUGAGGUGCGAAAGCGUGGGGAGCAACAGG
rnacentral:rRNA from 1 species